rnacentral:rRNA from 1 species
CCUACGGGAGGCAGCAGUGAGGAAUAUUGGUCAAUGGGCGGGAGCCUGAACCAGCCAAGUCGCGUGAAGGAAGAAUGCCCCAGGCGUCGUAAACUUCUUUUGUCGGGGAAUAAAGGGCGCCACGCGUGGCGUUUUGAGUGUACCUGAAGAAAAAGCAUCGGCUAACUCCGUGCCAGCAGCCGCGGUAAUACGGGGGAUGCAAGCGUUAUCCGGAUUUAUUGGGUUUAAAGGGUGCGUAGGCUGGGAGGUAAGUCAGAGGUGAAAUGCUCCCGCUCAACGGGGUGAAGUGCAAUUGAUACUGGCUGGCUGGAAUGCGGAUGACGUGGGAGGAAUGUGUGGUGUAGCGGUGAAAUGCAUAGAUAUCACACAGAACACCGAUUGCGAAGGCAUCUGACGAAUCCGCGAUUGACGCUGAUGCACGAAAGCGUGGGUAUCAAACAGGAUUAGAUACCCCUGUAGUC